CCUGUCUGCUGUGCAGCUGCUGUCCCAGCACCAGGAACUCCACGGUGACCCGGAUCAUCUACGCCUUCAUCCUGCUGCUGGGGACCAUCGUGGCCUGCAUCAUGCUGUCCCCGGGGGUCGAUCAGCAGCUGAAAAGGAUCCCUGGCUUCUGUGAAGACGGGGCCGGCUCCUCUAUCCCUGGCAUGCAGGCCGAUGUCAACUGUGAGAUGUUCGUGGGCUACAAGGCAGUGUACCGCAUCUGCUUCGGCAUGAGCAUGUGGUUCCUGGGGUUUUCCAUCCUGAUGAUUAACAUCAAGAACAGCAGAGACCCCCGUGCUGCCAUCCACAACGGAUUCUGGUUCUUUAAGUUUGCUGCCCUGGUGGCAGUUACAGUUGGCGCCUUUUAUAUUCCAGAUGGGCCUUUCACCUACACGUGGUUUGUGGUGGGCUCUGGGGGGGCUUUUUGCUUCAUCCUGAUCCAGCUGGUGCUGCUGGUGGACUUCGCCCACUCAUGGAACGAGUCAUGGGUGGAGAAGAUGGAGACCGGCAGUUCCAGGUGCUGGUACGCAGCGUUGCUGGUGGUCACUCUCAUCAACUACAUCAGGUCCUUUACUGCUGUGGUGCUGUUCUUCAUCUUCUACACAAAGCCUGAUGGAUGCUCCAUCAACAAGUUCUUCAUCAGCUUCAACAUGUUGUUCUGCCUGGUGGCCUCCUUCCUCUCUGUGCUGCCUAAAGUUCAGGAGUCGCAGACCCGUUCAGGUCUCCUGCAGUCCUCCAUCAUCACCCUGUACACCAUGUAUCUCACCUGGUCCGCCAUGACUAAUGAACCUGAUCGAGAGUGUAACCCCAGCCUGCUGAGCCUCUUCCAGCAGAUAGCAGUGCCCACCCUGGCCCCUCUGGAGAUGGAGAACCAGACGGCGGUGCUGAUCCUGGGCCCGGACACAGAGGAGCCCGUCCUUACGUCCCCCUACCUGCCGUGGUGGGAUGCCCAGAGCAUCGUGGGGCUCGCCAUCUUUGUCCUCUGCAUCCUUUACUCAAGAGACAGAUCGAUGAGAUCAAAGACCCGAAGCAGGAUCGGCAGAGGCUUCUGGAUGAGAUCCGCUCGCUGGAGAGCAACAACAAGGAUCUGGAGAGGACCGUCUCUGGAUACGAGACCAGCCAGAACAAGCUUCAGAAGGAGCUGGUUAAGGUCGGUCACAGCAACACUCAGCUGAAGCUCAGCGUCUCCGAGCUGAGGCUCAAAGUGAGGAAUGGAAACAAGGAGAUGCACAAGAUGGCGCAGAAGGUGGAGCAAAGUGACGUUGAAGGAGAAUUUUAUAGGGCUUUCUGUCGGCAGCGUGAGCAUAUGGAGAAAAUGGUCAACGGGCUCAAGACCAGACUGGCCAGAUCUGGUAGGCAGCAUGAUCAGGCCUAUGACAAGAUCCAGAAGCCUGCCGCUCUGCUGCUGCCUGCUUUGACAGCUCAGAUCUAGAUGGAUUACUGUAAGCCAAUAAAUCUGUCGGAGUCUGUGCCCCAGUGGUGACAGCCUGACGACCCCUGCUUGUGUGCCUCUACCCGUGUACGAAGGCAUGCCCAAGUUUCCACAUGCUCCCUGAACAUGGUGUCAAAGUCAAAAUCCCUGUGAAGCAGCCAAACAUAUCAUGGCAUAUGGCUGGGGGACUGUGUGCCCUUAACCUGCAUCUGAUCCAGUGAUAGGCUGAGAUCCCACAAAUCACAUUCAGCCUGUCCACAUGUAGAGUAAGUACACCACAUGUACACUACAUGUCAACCCCAUACGAUGAGCAGGUAGAUAUGCAGAGCCUUGUAUACCUGUCAUUCAAAAUAUAAACACAAGCAGUAUUAGAGUAGGUCAGUGCACUGUCACUGGUAGACUAUUCAAAGACGUUUUGUUUGUCACGAUGACA